rnacentral:rRNA from 1 species
AUCUACAGCCAUACUACCCUGAACAAGCCCGAUCCUGUCUGAUCUUGGAAGCUAAGCAGGGUCGGGCCUGGUUAGUACUUGGAUGGGAGGCCACCUAGGAAAACCAGGUGCUGUAGGCA